rnacentral:rRNA from 1 species
AGCAGCCGCGGUAAUUCCAGCUCCAAUAGCGUAUAUUAAAGUUGUUGCAGUUAAAAAGCUCGUAGUUGAAUUUCGGGAUCAAGUCGUCGGUCGUGCUCAGGUACGUACUGGCGUCAUUGAUUUCUCCCUUCUGACGAACCAUGAUGUCAUUAACUUGGUGUCAUGGGAAAUCAGGACUGUUACUUUGAAAAAAUUAGAGUGUUUAAAGCAGGCUCACGCUUGAAUACAUUAGCAUGGAAUAAUGAAAUAGGACGUUCGAUCCUAUUUUGUUGGUUUUAGGAUCAACGUAAUGAUUAAUAGGGAUAGUUGGGGGCAUUAGUAUUCAAUUGUCAGAGGUGAAAUUCUUGGAUUUAUUGAAGACUAACUACUGCGAAAGCAUUUGCC